AUGGGAAGCAGGUUAAUAUUCCUGCACCGUCGUAUGAUGCGAUGGGGGGACGGAUCGCGGAAGGUUGUCUGACUGUUGGAAUAGUCAGUUUCUGAUUCAUAGAAGGUACUUAGGCAAAUCCGGGUACGUAAUUCAAGGGAUUGGGACGAGCGAACUUGUUCGCGAAGCAAUCGGAAGUGGUUCCAAGAAAAGCCUCUAAGCUUCAGUCAUACGAGACCGUACCGCAAACCGACACAGGUGGGCGAGAUGAGUAUU
rnacentral:rRNA from 1 species